rnacentral:lncRNA from 1 species
UAAACCUUAUAUAUAUAUAUACAUGUAUAUACAUGUAUAUGUAUGUUAAAAUUUCAGGUUUUGAAUGCAUCUUCUACACCUCAAAAUUUAUUUGGUGAUGCAAAUAGUAUUAGUAAACAUUUAGGAUGUAAUAAUAGUGUUAAUAUGGAUUUGACAGCUGCUUGUACGGGAUUCGUUUUUGCUUUUGCGACAGCUUAUAACUUUUUAAACAAAUAUAAAAAUAUUCUCAUAGUUGGAAGUGAUGCAUUAAGUAAUUUUUUAGAUUGGAGAGAUCGUAACACUUGUGUUUUAUUUGGAGACGCUGCAGGUGCUGUAGUAUUACAAAGAACAGAACCUAAUGAAAAAAAUCAUAUUUAUAAUUACUACCUUGGAUCUGAUAGCGAAUUAAAUGACUUGUUAACUAUAAAUUUUCAAAACAAUGAAUAUAACAUAGAUAAACCAAACACAAACAAAUAUGGAAAACUAAAUAUGAAUGGCAAAGAGGUGUUUAAAUAUACUAUAAGCAAUCUACCUAGGAUUUUAGAAAAAUCUGUAAAAGAUAGUAAACUAACGCUAGACGACAUAAACUAUUUUAUAUUCCAUCAAGCUAAUAUUAGAAUUUUAAAUACAGUUGCAAAGAAUUUAAAUAUACCAUCAUCAAAAAUUUUAGUAAAUUUAGACGAAUACGCAAACACGUCUGCUGCUUCAAUACCUUUAUGUUUCUCGGAAAAUAUAAAUAAUGGGAAAAUUAAAAAGAAUGAUAUAAUAUGUAUGUGUGGUUUUGGAGCAGGAAUGUCUUAUGGAUGUAUUAUAUUUAAAUAUUAAAAAAAAAAAAAUAAUAAUUAUAAUAAAAAAACAAAAUAUUAUAAAAUAAUAAUGACA